UAAGCUGUUACUGUUCAAUCUGGACAAAUAUUUUUCACCGUGUACAAAAAAUAAAACAUGUUUGUAGUGGUCAAACUUGAAUAAGACGCUAGGGACAAUUUCUUACAAUACCGUUUUCACAGAGGUUAAGUUGUAAAAUGUAAAUACAACAGAAUGCAAUAAUUUAAAUUAUUUAACCCCUGAAAAUAGUGCAGAAGAACAAACAAAUGUCCAAACCGAUUAUUUUUAUUGUUUUUAACUUGAUGCAAACAACUUCAAAACGUUGGGACGGCAGCAUGUUUACCACACUGUAAGUGCUGAUGGAAAUGUAUAUAACUCCUGCCAAGUUGAAUCUUUAUAAUGAAUGCACAUUAGACACAUGCACUAAAUGCACAUAAGAUUUCAAUUUCAAAGACAUGUCACUCAUCCUUAAGCUAUUUCUGUUUGGUUUUAUAUUCAGAGGAACACAGAUGCAGUACAAUACAACUGAACAACAUUUUUAUUAAACUCAGUCAUUUUACGGCAUUUUAAACAACUGAGAUGAUUUUU